CUGUUUUUUGUGGGUUUUUGGCUGAGUGUAAUUUUAUACAAACAAACAAUAUGUGCCAAAAUUUAAUGAUUAUAUGAUUAUUUUUGCAUAAUACGAUAAAGUGCAAUUUUGGUGCAAAGUUAUGCGCAAGUUUUUUGUUGUUGUGUUUCUUCUUAAAGGAAAUACAUUGUUUCAGUUACAUUAUGGAAAUUAUAGUAGAAUGCAAAAAAUGCACUAUUAUAUGCUUAUUCUUUGCAUAUUUCAAAAAGUGUAAUAUCAAUGCAAAUUGUGUGCAAGUUUUGAAAGUGUUUUCAUUUUCAUUUUAUUUCUUCUUAAAGGGUUCAUUCUUUCUUAGAAAAAUUAAUUAUUUUGAUUUUGUUUUAGUCUUUUUGUUUUGAAAGUGCAAUACGAAGGCUAUGUGUUUAGUCAUUGUAGCCUGUUCCACCAAUUGUGACAUCUUUUUAUCUUUACUGUUCUUGUGCUCCUUUUGUGAGUAGUUCUAAAACUCAGACUCUGUUUAUGUACUUUUGGUUAAUAAAUUGGCUGCAUGCGUCAUUCUGAUGCAGAGGUCAGGGGCUUUCCUCCUUUCUAAAAAUAUAUGCAUUUUCCGUCAUUAUUUAUUUUAUGUGUUUUUACAUUUUGUUUUCUUUUGUGCAAUGCAAUAUCAUGCUACUAACCAUGGCCAGCCAGCUCACGCACUGACAAAGCCGGAGCUAGCAAGCUCAUGCGCGACGCGGAGCUAGCUCACACAUGGACGCAGCUGGAGCUAGCUAGCUCACGCGCCACGGCCAGCUGAAGCUAGCUACUUCACGCGCGCACGCACAAGACUCACCACACCACACGUACUAUAGGGUAAAAGAAGUGACUGACCCAUUCACAAAUUCAGUCGACUGACUGGUAGUCAGUCCCUUAAAAUUAACCUAAUAGAUACUUAUAUUCUAUUAUUAUAUGGUACAAGCUAAAUGGAAGUUAAGAUGAGUAGGAGUAGAUUGCAUGAAACGGUAAAGAUCAUACCAGUACAUGCAGUACAAAUUAGCAAGAAAAACAAAAUUACAACUGUGCCAUUGGGACAAAGAACCGCACACUUUGGACACCUAUACACACGCGUCACACAUGUAACACAAGAGGUCACCACGUGGUCGACUGUUGGUCUUGUUCCAUCCACCACCAGUUCAUCGUCCUCAUCCCGUUCCUUUCCCCAUUCCACUCGUACCUAAGUGAGAAAGCACCUGGUGGAGGCGGACGGCGAUACUUUGGGCUCCAUCUUGGCGACGGCUGACACUGCAGCUUGGCCGGAGAGCGGCUCAUGCUGCAGCUCACUGGCGUUGCGGCUCCAUCGGCUUCUUGGUGGCCCGGCAGCUACCGUUGUAGCUUGGAGCCGCAGAACCGGCAAAUGGUGCCGCUGUUGCUCAUACCGGCGAUUUGGCUAUGCUGGCACUCCCUGAAGCCAGUAACUUUUCAUGGGAAGGGAUGCCCCAGGAAGACCAUGGCAGCCGCUGUUGCCGCUCAGAUAAUUUGAUCGAAAAGGGACGGCAUGCUGAGGUGUACAAAGGACAGCUUGCUGAUGGACAGUUUGUGGCAGUGAAGAGGUUAACAAAAAUACUUAACCAAGCAUGCUGAGUAUCAUUGGCUUUGGCGACGUUGAUCCUUCUUCACGUAUGCUGGUUGUUGCAUUUGAAUUCAGAUUCUCUUGAUUGGAGUGGAGAGGAGCAGAGACGAGAGGAGCAGCAUAAGUGGACAGCGCAGCGGCUGACCUCGAGCUCUUGAUUGGACUGGGGGGAGGCGGCCGGCGAAGGAUCUGGCGUCUGGC